rnacentral:misc_RNA from 1 species
GAUGAAGAACGUAGCGAAAUGUGAUAAGUAAUGUGAAUUGCAGAAUCUCGUGAAUCAUCGAAUCUUUGAACGCACAUUGCGCCCAAUGGUAUUCCAUUGGGCAUACCUGUUUGAGUAUCAGAAUCCUUUCAAUUAUCAAACUUUUAUAUAUAGAGAUGUAUGUAAAGAUGUUUGGAAUAAAGUUGAGAAAAGUAGUAUUGUUUAUAAUAUUACUUUCUUAAAAACCAGAAAUAUUAUGUUUUGAUUUUUCUUCACCUCAUUUUGUAUGAAAUUUUAACAAAUGAGUAUGAGUAAAAAUAACAAUACUUUGGAUGACCUCAAAUCAGGUAGGGAUACCCGCUGAACUUAAGCAUAUCAAUAAGCGGAGGA